CCUACGGGAGGCAGCAGUGAGGAAUCUUGGUCAAUGGACGAGAGUCUGAACCAGCCAAGUAGCGUGAAGGAUGACUGUCCUAUGGGUUGUAAACUUCUUUUAUAUGGGAAUAAAAUGUUCCACGUGUGGGAUUUUGUAUGUACCAUAUGAAUAAGGAUCGGCUAACUCCGUGCCAGCAGCCGCGGUAAUACGGAGGAUCCGAGCGUUAUCCGGAUUUAUUGGGUUUAAAGGGAGCGUAGGUGGAUUGUUAAGUCAGUUGUGAAAGUUUGCGGCUCAACCGUAGAAUUGCAGUUGAAACUGGCAGUCUUGAGUACAGUAGAGGUGGGCGGAAUUCGUGGUGUAGCGGUGAAAUGCUUAGAUAUCACGAAGAACUCCGAUUGCGAAGGCAGUUCACUGGACUGCAACUGACGCUGAGGCUCGAAAGUGUGGGUAUCAAACAGGAUUAGAUACCCGAGUAGUC
rnacentral:rRNA from 1 species